ACGGAAGGCAGCAGUGGGGAAUAUUGCACAAUGGGCGAAAGCCUGAUGCAGCGACGCCGCGUGAGUGAAGAAGUAUCUCGGUAUGUAAAGCUCUAUCAGCAGGGAAGAAAAUGACGGUACCUGACUAAGAGGCCCCGGCUAACUACGUGCCAGCAGCCGCGGUAAUACGUAGGGGGCAAGCGUUAUCCGGAUUUACUGGGUGUAAAGGGAGCGUAGACGGUUUGGCAAGUCUGAAGUGAAAUGCGGGGGCUCAACUCCUGAACUGCUUUGGAAACUGUCGAACUAGAGUGCAGGAGAGGUAAGUGGAAUUCCUAGUGUAGCGGUGAAAUGCGUAGAUAUUAGGAGGAACACCAGUGGCGAAGGCGGCUUACUGGACUGUAACUGACGUUGAGGCUCGAAAGCGUGGGGAGCAAACAGGAUUAGAUACCCUGGUA
rnacentral:rRNA from 1 species